CCUACGGGGGGCUGCAGUGGGGAAUAUUGGACAAUGGGGGCAACCCUGAUCCAGCCAUGUCGCGUGUGUGAAGAAGGCCCUCGGGUUGUAAAGCACUUUCAGUGAGGAAGAACGCCUGGUGGUUAAUACCCAUCAGGAAAGACAUCACUCACAGAAGAAGCACCGGCUAACUCCGUGCCAGCAGCCGCGGUAAUACGGAGGGUGCGAGCGUUAAUCGGAAUUACUGGGCGUAAAGCGCGCGUAGGUGGCUUGAUAAGCCGGUUGUGAAAGCCCCGGGCUCAACCUGGGAACGGCAUCCGGAACUGUCAAGCUAGAGUGCAGGAGAGGAAGGUAGAAUUCCCGGUGUAGCGGUGAAAUGCGUAGAGAUCGGGAGGAAUACCAGUGGCGAAGGCGGCCUUCUGGACUGACACUGACACUGAGGUGCGAAAGCGUGGGUAGCAAACAGGAUUAGAUACCCGGGUAGUC
rnacentral:rRNA from 1 species